UUCCUGGUGGGUUCAGUGGUUAGGACUCUGCACUUUCACUGCUGAGGGCCAAGGUUCAAUCCCCGGUCAGGGAA
rnacentral:tRNA from 1 species